CCUACGGGUGGCAGCAGUGAGGAAUAUUGGUCAAUGGGCGAGAGCCUGAACCAGCCAAGUCGCGUGAAGGAUGAAGGAACUAUGGUUUGUAAACUUCUUUUAUAGGGGAAUAAAGUGAGGAACGUGUGCCUUUUUGUAUGUACCAUAUGAAUAAGCAUCGGCUAACUCCGUGCCAGCAGCCGCGGUAAUACGGAGGAUGCGAGCGUUAUCCGGAUUUAUUGGGGUUAAAGGGUGCGUAGGUGGUUAAUUAAGUCAGCGGGGAAAGUUUGUGGCUCAACCAGAAAAUUGCCGUUGAAACUGGUUGCCUUGAGUAUAUUUGCGGUCGGCGGCAUUCGUUGUGUAGCGG
rnacentral:rRNA from 1 species